rnacentral:rRNA from 1 species
GGAAUAUUGGACAAUGGGCGCAAGCCUGAUCCAGCCAUGCCGCGUGCAGGAUGACGGUCCUAUGGAUUGUAAACUGCUUUUGUACAGGAAGAAACACUGGUUCGUGAACCAGCUUGACGGUACUGUAAGAAUAAGGAUCGGCUAACUCCGUGCCAGCAGCCGCGGUAAUACGGAGGAUCCAAGCGUUAUCCGGAAUCAUUGGGUUUAAAGGGUCCGUAGGCGGUCUUGUAAGUCAGUGGUGAAAGCCCAUCGCUCAACGGUGGAACGGCCAUUGAUACUGCAGGACUUGAAUUAUUAGGAAGUAACUAGAAUAUGUAGUGUAGCGGUGAAAUGCUUAGAGAUUACAUGGAAUACCAAUUGCGAAGGCAGGUUACUACUAAUUGAUUGACGCUGAUGGACGAAAGCGUGGGUAGCGAACAGGAUUAGAUACCCUAG